CUACGGGCCGCUCCAGUGGGGAAUAUUGGACAAUGGGCGAAAGCCUGAUCCAGCCAUGCCGCGUGUGUGAAGAAGGCUCUAGGGUUGUAAAGCACUUUAAGCUGGGAGGAAAGGGUGUAAGUUAAUACCUUGCAUCUGUGACGUUACCAGCAGAAUAAGCACCGGCUAACUCCGUGCCAGCAGCCGCGGUAAUACGGAGGGUGCGAGCGUUAAUCGGAAUUACUGGGCGUAAAGCGCGCGUAGGUGGUUGUGUAAGUGGAAUGUGAAAGCCCCGGGCUUAACCUGGGAAUUGCAUACCAAACUGCACGACUAGAGUACGGUAGAGGGGGGUAGAAUUUCAGGUGUAGCGGUGAAAUGCGUAGAGAUCUGAAGGAAUACCAGUGGCGAAGGCGGCCCCCUGGAUUGAUACUGACACUGAGGUGCGAAAGCGUGGGUAGCAAACAGGAUUAGAUACCCGGGUAGUC
rnacentral:rRNA from 1 species